rnacentral:rRNA from 1 species
GACGAACGCUGGCGGCGUGCUUAACACAUGCAAGUCGAACGGUGAAGCGCCUUCCUUUUUGGUGGGUGUGGAUGAGUGGCGAACGGGUGAGUAACACGUGAGUAACCUGCUCCCUUCUUCUGGAUAACCGCAUGAAAGUGUGGCUAAUACGGGAUAUUCUGGGUCUGUCGCAUGAUGGGUCUGGGAAAGAUAUUGUUUCGGUGGGGGAUGGGCUCGCGGCCUAUCAGCUUGUUGGUGGGGUGAUGGCCUACCAAGGCGGUGACGGGUAGCCGGCCUGAGAGGGUGGACGGUCACACUGGGACUGAGACACGGCCCCGCCUCCUACGGGCGGCAGCAGGGAAGAUUAUUGCACAGUGGGCGCAAGGCUGAUGCAGCGACGCCGCGUGAGGGAUGGAGGCCUUCGGGUUGCGAACCUCUUUCGGCAGUGAAGCAGGGCUGCCUCGUUUGUGGGUGGGUUGACGGUAGCUGGAUAAGAAGCGCCGGCUAACUACGUG